CAAACAUUCCAAGGUCAGAUUGGAUGAGCAGAGGCAACGCCGCACAGCCUGGGUGUCUCUUGGAGAUCACAAAGUAUAUUUUUAGUGAUAGUGUCUAAAAGGGUGAUUUUUCCUACUAACAAAUCCAGCAAAUAGGGAGGGAGUGAAGAGAACCCGAGUUCUCCCAUCUACUUGCAGAGGAGACACCGGCAUGCCAGUGCAAGCCACAGGCGGGUAGAUCUAAUUGAAGGUGGGUUAUGACCUUGGGAGAGCAGAGAAGACUUUGUAGUUGACAGGUGGUACCUGAGGCACUGCGUCUGAGCCCCACAUACAGCACAGUCCAGCUCCGCAGGACAAGAGGAACCAACUUGACAACAGAGAAUGGCGUCUCUGAAGAGAGGACAAACAGUAACAGGUAGAGACUGAUUUCCUCUCGUUGCUAAGGCUAUGAUGACGCUGUCUCAAUGAUCAGGUAGGCUCAAUGUGACCUGAACCAGGUAUGUUCAAUGUAAUGGGGACUGGGUAUUGUUGAUAUGAUGGGGAUAAGGUAUUUUCAUUCCGAUGAUGGGAUGAGUUAUGAUCAACGGGACCUGGAUGACAUACACUCAACUAAUAGCAACCAGGUGAGCACCAUGUGACCUGGACCAAGUAUAAUCAAUGUGAUAUGCACCAAGUUUACUCAAUAUGAUGGAGGCCAAAUACAAUCAUUGUGAUCUGCACCAGGAAUACUCAAUGUCAAGGACAUCAGGUGUGGUCAGUGUGACCUGACCUGGACAUGUAAACUCUGAGGGACCAGGUGAGUUCAGUGUGGUGUGUCCUGGACAUGUUGACUCUGAGGGGACCAAGUGUGGUCUGUGUGACCUAGCCUGGAAAUGUUAACUCUGAGGGACCAGGUGAGCUCAGUGUGGUGUACACUGGACAUGUUAUCUCUGAGGGGACCAGGUGAGCUCAGUGUGCCUAUGCCUGGACAUGUCAACUCUAACAGGACCAGGUGAGCUCAGUGUGAAAUAGCCUGGACAUGUUAAUUCUGAGGGAUCAGGUGAGCUCAGUGUGGUGUGUCCAGGACAUAUUGGUUCUGAGGGGACCAGGUAAGCUCAGUGUGGUGUGUCCGGGACAAGUUCACUCUGAGGGAUCAGGUGAGUUCAGUGUGAGAUGGACUGGACAUGUUAAUUCUGAGGGGACCAGGUGUGCUUCUUGUGACCAGGCCUCGACAUGUAAACUCUGGGGACCAGGUGAGCUCAGUGUGGUGUGUCCUGUACAUGUUGACUCUGAGGGGACCAGGGAAACUCAGUGUGGUGUGUCCUGGACAUGAUAACUCUGAGGGGACCAGGUGAACUCAGUGUGGUGUGUCCGGGACAUGUUAACUCUGAGGGGACCAGGUGAACUCAGUGUGGUGUGUCCGGGACAUGUUAACUCUGAGGGGACCAGGUGAGCUCCUUGUGACCAGGCCUGGACAUAUUAACUCUGGGGGACCAGGUGAGCUCAGUGUGGUGUGUCCUGAACAUGUUAACUCUGAGGGACCAGGUGAGCUCAGAGUGAGAUGGCCUGGACAUGUUAAUUCUAAGGGGACCAGGUGUGCUCAUUGUGACCAGGCCUGGACAUGUUAAUUCUGAGGGACAAGGUGAGCUCAGUGUGGUGUGUCCAGGACAUGUUGGCUCUGAGGGAACCAGGUAAGCUCAAUGUGGUGUGUCCGGGACAUGUUCACUCUGAGGGGACCAGGUGUGCUCCUUGUGACCAGGCCUGGACAUGUUACCUCUGAGGGGACCAAGUGAGCUCAGUGUGACCAGACCUAGACAUGUUAACUCUGAAGGACCAGAUGAGCUCAGUGUGGUGUGUCCUGACAUGUUCACUCUGAGGGGACCAGGUGUGCUCAGAGUGGUGUGUCCUGGACAUGUUAACUCUGAGGGACCAGGUGAGCUCAGUGUGCCUAGGCCUGGACAUGUUAACUCUGAGGGGACCAUGUGAGCUCUGUUUUUGUUCUGGACAUGUUAACUCUGAAGGACCAGGUGAGCUCAGUGUGGUGUGUCCUGGACAUGUGAACUCUGAGGGGAUCAGUUCUGCUCAAUGUGGUGUGUCCUGGACAUGUUAACUCUGAGGGACCAAGUGCGUUCAGUGUGGAAUGACUGACAUGUUAACUGGGAAGGACCAGGUGAGCUUAGUGUGGUGUGUCCAGGACAUGUUAACUCUGAGGGGACCAGGUGUGCUCAGUGUGAUGUGUCAAGACAUGUUAACUCUGAGGGACCAGGUGAGGUCAGUUGGUGUGUCCUGUAUAUGUUAACUCUGAGGGGAACAGGUGUGCUCAGUGUGAACAGGCCUGGACAUGUUAACUCUGAGGGGACCAGGUGAGCUCAGAGUGGUGUGUCCUAGACAUGUUAUCUCUGAGGGACCAGCUGUGCUCAGUGUGACCAGGCCUGGACAUGUUAACUCUGAAGGACCAGGGGAGCUCAGUGUGGUGCGUCAAGACAUGUUAACUCUGAGGGACCAGGUGAGGUCAGUUGGUGUGUCCUGUAUAUGUUAACUCUGAGGGGAACAGGUGAGCCCAGUGUGACCAGGCCUGGUGUUAACUCUGAAAGACCAGGUGAACUCAGUUGGUGUGUCCUAUAGAUGUUAACUCGGAGGGGACUAGGUGUGCUCAGUGUGACCAGGCCUGGACAUGUUAACUCUGAAGGAACCAGGUGAGCUCAGUGUGGUGUGUCAAGACAUGUUAACUCUGAGGGGACCAGGUGAGCUCACUGUGAUAUAUACUGGACAUGUUAUCUCUGAGGGGACCAGGUGAGCUCAGUGUGCCUAUGCCUGGACAUGUUAACUCUAACAGGACCAGGUGAGCUCAGUGUGAAAUAGCCUGGACAUGUUAAUUCUGAGGGAUCAGGUGAGCUCAGUGUGGUGUGUCCAGGACAUGUUCACUCUGAGGGGACCAGGUGUGCUCCUUGUGACCAGGCCUGGACAUGUUAACUCUGAGGGGACCAAGUGAGCUCAGGGUGACCAGGCCUAGACAUGUUAACUCUGAAGGACCAGAUGAGCUCAGUGUGGUGUGUCCUGACAUGUUAACUCUGAGGAGAACAGUUCUGCUCAAUGUAGUUUUUCCUGGAAAUGUUAACUCUGAGGAAGUAGCUGAGCUCAGUGUGGUGUGUCCUGGACACGUUAACUCUGAGGGGAACAGGUGAGCUCAGAGUGGUGUGUCAAGACAUGUUAACUCUGAGGGAUCAGGUGAGCUCAGUGUGCCUAGGCCUGGACAUGUUAACUCUGAGAGGACCAUGUGAGCUCAGUGUUUUGUGUCCUGGACAUGUUAACUCUGAAGGACCAGGUGAGCUCAGUGUGGUGUCCUGGACAUUUUAACUCGAAGGACCAGGUGAGAUCAGUGUGUUGUGUCCUGGACAUGUUAACUCUAUGGGACCAGGUGAUCUCAUUGUGACCAGGCCUGGCAAGUUAACUCUGAGGGACCAGAUGAGCUCAGUGUGGUGUGUCCUGGACAUGUUAACUCUGAUGGGACCAAGUGAGCUCAGUGUUGUGUGUCCUGACAUGUUAACUCUGAAGGACAAGGUGAGCUCAGUGUGUUGUGUUUGGACAUGUGAACUCUGAGGGGAUCAGUUCUGCUCAAUGUGGUGUGUUCUGGACUUGGUAACUCUGAGGCACCACGUGUGCUCAGUUGGUGUGUCCUGGACAUGUUAACUCUGAGGGGACCAGGUGAGUCAGUGUGGUGUGUCCUGGACAUGUUGACUCUGAAGGAUCAGGUGAGUUCAGUGUGACCAGGCCUGGACAUGGUAACUCUAAGGACCAGCUGAGCUCAGUGUGACCUGUCGUAGACAUGUUGACUCUGAGGGGAACAAGUGAGCCUACUGUGGCCAGGCCUGGACAUGUUAACUCGGAGGGUCCUAGUGAGCUCAGUGUGCUGUGUCCUGUACAGGUUAUCUCUGAGGAGACCACGUGAGCUCAGUGUUUUGUUCCUGGACAUGUUAUCUCUGAGUGGAACAUGUGAACUAAGUGUAUUGUGUCCUGGACAUGUUAUAUCAGAGGGGAACUUGUGAGCUCAGUGUUUUGUGUCCUGAGAUGUUAACUCUGAAGGACCAGGUGAGCUCAGUGUGACCAGGCCUGGACGUGUUAACUCGGAGGGUCCUAGUGAGCUCAGUGUGGUGUAUCCUGUACUGGUUAUCUCUUAGGGGACCCUGUGAGCUGAGUGUGGUGUGUCCUGGACAUGUUAUCUCUGAGGGCAACAUGUGAGCUCAGUUUCGUGUCCUGAACAUGUUACCUCAGGUGAGCUCAGUGUGGUGUGUCCUGGACAUGUUAACUCUGAGGGCACCAUGUGAGCUCAGUGUGGUUUGGACUGGACAUGUUAACUCUGCGGGACCAGGUGUGCUCCGUUUACUGCUCAGACCUGCUUUCUUUGAUGGGAUGGGGUAGUGAUGUCUACGUUUAAUGGUGACCUUGUAAGUUCUAUGUGACGUUGACCUACUGUGCUCAGUGACAUGACACCUGGACCAGACACGCUCAGUGUGACCGGAACCAGGUAUGUUCAAUGUAGUGGGUACUGGGUAUUGGUCAUGUGAUGGAGAUAAGGUAUUUUCAUUCCGAUGAUGGGAUGUGGUAUGAUCAAUGUGACCUGGAAGAGAUAUGCUCCAUGUGAUGGGGCCCAGGUUUUUUCAGUGUGAGGGACCCAGGUGUGUGCCAUGUUCAUUGUAUGGUAAGUGCAAUCUGAGGAGGACCAGCUGUGCUCAGUGACAUGACACCUGGACCAGAUACGUUCCGUGUGACCUGAACCAGGUAUGUUUAAUAUGACAAGAAGCAAGAAGGCUCGGUGUGAUGGAUACCAGGUAUGCUCUGUGUCAGAGGUAUCAGGGGACCUGCAUGUUCAAUGUGACCUGGACCAGGCAUGCUCCAUGUGACCUGGGCCAGGCAAGUCCCAUGUGAUGGGGAGCAGGUAUGUUCCACGUUGCCCGGGCCAGUUAGCUUCAGCCUGAUGUGGACCAGAUGUGCUCAGUGUGGUGGUGACCAGGUAUGCUCAAUAGCAUGGGGCUAGCUUUGCUAGAUGUAUUUAAGGUGAUGGGAGCCUGUUGUGCUGGGUGUGACCUGGAGCAAGUGUGUUGUGGACCAGCACGCUCACUGCAAUGGGAGCCAGGUACACUCGGUGUGAACUGGGCCAGGUAGUUCCAUCUGGUAGGGACCGGGUGUAUGCAGUGUGACCGGCAGCAGGUCUGUGAAUUUGAUGAGGGUGAUGCAUAACAACUAUGCCCAAUGCAACCUGGACCAGGUAUGUCCAGCAAAUGGGGCCCAGCUAUCCCUAACUGGAUGAGAAUCGAGGAUGUUCAAAGUGACCCGUAACAGGUAAGUUUAAUGUCACCUGAACCAGUCACUCCCAAUGUGACGGCGACCAGGUGGACUCCACAUGUCCUGAACCAGAUCUGCCCACAUGACAUGAAUCAGGUAUGUUUGAUGUGACAGGGACCAGGCAUGCUCAGUAGGACCUAGACCUGGCAUGUUUGACGUGAUGGGACCAAGGUAUGAUCAAUGUGAUGGGGCCCAGGACAAGAGCCUGGUGUGCUCAAGGUGACCUCGAUGGGGUGAGUUCAACAUGAUGGGACUAGGUGUCCUCCGUGUCAAGGGGAUCAGGUGUGGUCCACGUGACCUGGAGCAGGUGUGUUCAGUAUGACGGGGACUGCUUUUGCUCAGUGUGAUGGAGAGCAGGUGCACUCAGUGUGAUGGGGACCAGGUGUGCAGUAUGUGGUAGGGAUCACGUAUGUCCAAUAUUACCUGGACCAGGUACGCUCAACACGAUGGGAGCCUGCUAUGCUCAAUGCGAUGGGAAGCAGGUGUGCUCCAUGUGACUUGAAUCAGGUAUGUUCAACAUGCCAGGGAUGAGAUGCGUUCAGUGUAACACAGACCACGUAUGCUCAACGUACAGGGCUCAGACAUGCUCACUGUUAACUGGACCGUUAUGAGGAGAGCCAGUUUUUCUCAAUGCGAUGGCAGCCAGGGAUACGCAAUAUGCUGGAGGUCAGUUAUGUUCAACAUGACCUGGAGCAGGUGUGUUCUGUGUGAGCUGGCCCUGGUAUGCUCGAUGGGAUGGGGGCCAGGUGUGCCCAAGCACUCGCUGGGGCCUGAAGCCACCACAGCAGCCAAGGGAGUGUCCCGUGAACACUCAGCAUCAGAGGACGGACAGGAGCUGGUGACCUGGAGCGCUGUUCGGGGAUGCUUCACUCGUCCAUGGUCUUCUAUUCAAACAGGUAAUUCUACAGUUCUUCUCAAGGUUUCUUGGGUCCCGAAUGAGUGGGUUUCUCAGAGGAAGGGUGUCCUUGGGUUGAUGCAGCCCUAGGAGUUACCUUUGCAAGACAAUGCACUCCCUGGAAGCCAUCGCCUCUGUGGGGUGUGUGUGUGUGUGUGUGUGUGUAUACACGUGAAUGUACCUGAACCCUGGGCACAUGCCUCCCUAACCCACAUGCACCUGUGCCCGCAUGGCAGCUGCACCUGGUAUUUGCUCAGGGUGCACCUCUUCCUCUGUCGUCCCCAUUAUAAACUGGAGUUUAUGGCUCCUUCCAUCUGCAUAUGGAGCAGCCGACACGGGCCCCUCCUCAUGGUGGCUGGCACAAGCCAGCAGCCUCAACUGGAGAAACGAGAAACAGAAAAGGGUCUUCUGCAUGAUGCCGUGGGACACCACUAGGAUUCUCCCCCCCUCUCAAAGCUGUAGUACUGUUGUCAGGGGGAAGAAUCCAGAAGGAAGAAAGGGCUUGGUCACAGACAGACGCCUUGCGGGCUCUGCAUAGGCAUCGCCAGCUGCUCAGCCGCUGAAGUCGCUUGUUCCCCCAAGAAAGCCCUGGGCUGCGUAUUACCUAGAAAGUUCCAGGAGCGACAGGAGGAUCCGAAUGGCUCGUCGGAAAGGUGAAGCCACAGAGCCCUGGAGCUUCCAGGCACUCUGCCAGGUGCUCCCCUGUGGUGUGGACGCGUUCCCUGCCGACCUCCAAUUCCUGCCCAGCUGCGUGCUGCCUGCACCCUUGCCUCCCCCGGGCCCGCCCGGCCCUCGCUCCCCAUGUUCCCAAGGCUGCCGCCGUCUGAGUGUUUUCCCAGCAUCAGAGGGUGAUGGAGAGGCUGGGGGCCAGCUGCCAAGAAAGCAUUCGAGCUUUGCUUUCCUAUUUCGCUUCUCUCCCGGCCCAGCAGCCAGGGAAGUGUGUUUUCUGGAAAGAAGUCAACUGCCAGAGACUGCUCUAACCACACGGGGAGGGGAGGAGCUGCGGGCUCGGCCCAGGUGCCCAGGGACUGCCUCCUGCCAGCCCUGCCCUCUGCACAUCUUUGGAUGAGAUGAGACCCGUGAAACAGGAAUCGUUCUCUCCGUUUCAAAGAUUGGAGAGUAGAGGCACACAAGCGAGUAGACAGCGCACCCCACAGCGCUGAGCUGGAGCCCCACAGAGAAGGGACGAGCUCCAGGCCCAGCCCUCUCCAAAGCUGGGUUGUUGCGGCCACACCAUGCUGUUGUCGGAAGAAGGAAGGGGACAGCGAGUGGAAGAGAAAGGACCACACCAACCCCAGCUCCUUCAGUACCGCCUGGCCACGUGCAGCGGGAUGCACAUCUUUAAAAUGAA